rnacentral:rRNA from 1 species
CCUACGGGCGGCAGCAGUGAGGAAUAUUGGUCAAUGGUCGGGAGACUGAACCAGCCAAGCCGCGUGAGGGAUGAAGGUACAGAGUAUCGUAAACCUCUUUUGUCAGGGAACAAAGGCGGGGACGUGUCCCCGGAUGAGUGUACCUGAAGAAAAAGCAUCGGCUAACUCCGUGCCAGCAGCCGCGGUAAUACGGAGGAUGCGAGCGUUGUCCGGAUUUACUGGGUGUAAAGGGCGUGUAGCCGGGCUGACAAGUCAGAUGUGAAAUCCGGGGGCUCAACCCCCGAACUGCAUUUGAAACUGUUGGUCUUGAGUAUCGGAGAGGCAGGCGGAAUUCCUAGUGUAGCGGUGAAAUGCGUAGAUAUUAGGAGGAACACCAGUGGCGAAGGCGGCCUGCUGGACGACAACUGACGGUGAGGCGCGAAAGCGUGGGGAGCAAACAGGAUUAGAUACCCGAGUAGUC